AAUGUAAAUUUUCCUUGCAUUGUUGCAGCAACAAACUUAUUAAAAAUUAAAUUGAGAUUUUCAUAUUUAACAUAACAUGUUUGGAGCAAAUUUUGAUCAUUCUGUUCGUUUGUAUUUCUAUUUCUUCAGUCUAUGUAAUAAAAAUCUGAGUACAAUCUGAUCAAUCAUAAAGGACUCGACAUUGCUGAAUUUCGUGAUUUAAUAUACUUAAAGUUGCUGUAAAGUUUACGUACAUCAGUUUAUCGGGGUCAAGCUACGACUUGACGCGUUAUCGGUUGUUCAGUCUCGGCAUGCGCUGAAGGUAAAGCGACCUUUGUAACAACAACAUAGGCACACACGUAUAGCACACACUCCUAGUCACAACAGUCUAUGACUCGGAAGUGAACACGUCGGAGAACGUCGUGCGCUAUUUUCGACUUUUCCGGAUUAAUCCAAGCGUGUGCCAGACUAAUUACGGUACUUAGUGCACACGAUUACGACGCUGGGAACGCGGUCAGCUGCGGGAGCACCUUGGAACUUAACGGGUGUGAUCACCGCGUUUUGUCCUUAUUACGCCUGAAAGAAAAUAUCCCACAAAGCCCACGGCUUGCGGUCGCGCGGCGGAGGGGGUCAAAGUUUCAGUGAAUGCGAAUGCUGUGCUGGAGGCUCCGCACAGGGAUUGAGUCGACUCGAAGAACUUGUAGCAAAACGCGGUCUUAGAUUAGAAACAAUCGAUAAAUGGCAAAUGAGUAUACUUAGUUAUUAAAUGGUUUAAAUACACUAUUUAUUGAAUGAAAUUGCAAUAUUUCAAGUUGUUAGAAUUGAAAGCCACUGCUGACGUGUAUACGCAGUAUAAAUUGCGCAUUAUAAAUAUUUAAAAAUAACUUCUUAAAAUAAUGUCUUUCCUUAUUUAAAAUAAAUUCUUUCUUCUAAAUUUUCCUUUAGUCACGUGUCACACGUCACCGUACUGUCAUUUUGGCUCUUGUCAUCACUAUUCUGACAACUUAAAGCGUUGCAAUUUUAUACAACAAACAUUACUAUUUUGAAUUACAUUCGUUCAACCGGGACCUACAGAUUAAUUUCAAAUAGUUUCACUUAUAUUGCCUUUGCUUCUGAUGUUUAUCCAGGAUGCUACAUCAGAUUGUUAACUGUUCAGGCAUCACAGAAUGUUUCUGUGGUAAUGCAAUUUGAGUCUUAACAACUUUUAUUUUAUUUGGAUUACAUCCAGAUUUUGGAGAAUGAUUUAAGGGAGUAUUCUAGUGUGACGAGUCUAAAAAAAUAGAUUUUUCUAUUUUCGUAUAUUUUUAUAGUUUGAAGUUUUGAAAAUGUAUCCUUAAAAUAUUAAGAUAAGUUUUGAAAAUGUAUCCUUAAAAUAUUAAGAUAAAUUUUGAAAAUGUAUCCCUAAAAUAUUAAGAUAAAAUUCGUUAAAUUAAUCAAGCUAAAUAAUUAAAAGAUGCUAUAAAUGAUUAAAUGACUUCCAUACGGCGCGCCGACUGAGAUAAAUAAUGAAGUGUUAAAUAUCAUCAAAUCCUAUUUAACUACCGAUGAUUUAUUACAGCGAUGCCUCGGAUUAUUUAUUCAGAAUAAUAAACAUAACAUAUUCAGAAUAACAAAAGUUUAAAUUCAUUAAUUUGGACAAUUACAUCAAAAUAUAUGUGUAUUGUGGAAAGAAGAUGGUGAUUGCUACUUUUUCGGUUGUUUGCAUGUUUAAUGAAGGAUUUAAUACAAUUGUAAAAGUAAUGGACGUAAUGGGAAUAAAAAUCGGCCAAAAUGCAAAAUUCCUCGCGGAUAACAGAGACAAUGAGCACGUUAAACGUUCGAAGCAGCGGGCGUCAUACGACUCGAAAGAAGCAAGAAUUGCUAAGAGA